rnacentral:lncRNA from 1 species
CAGCUGGGAAUACUUGCUAUCGCCAUUUAUAUCACAUUUGUCCCUUAUCUGGUGCGUCUCACUUUUUUUUUCUUUCGUCUGGUGUUACCAGUUUCAACAAGGAAAGCGGAACAAUCGAUAGAACAAUGGCACUGAGCCACAAUUGCAUCGACAUCCUCCUACCCCCUCCAUCUAUUUCCUCUCUUCCUCCACCAGUUUUUUUUUUUUCCCCUGUUAACUUAAAAAGUAACGACAAGCCAACUCGGUUGACUACGCAAUCACACACGCGCUUGGCGGCAGGCAACUGAUGCAAUCGCACAACAUCAGGCAAACACACACAGUGUGGUUGUGAGCUAUGCGUGACAAUGCCAUUCAUCAUUCACCCCGAUUCUCUUACCCAAAUUUUCUUCUAUUACAAUUCCCUGCCGACUGUUAUGGACCGAGAACAGGGAAUGACCGACACGAAACCGACUAACCUUUCACAGUUCCUGCUAGCACCACUUCGCGUGUGUUUUAACUGUAAAAAGAGAGGGGAAAAAAAAAAGUCUGUGUCGAUCCGGACCAACCAUGACUGCGUUAAAAAAAAAUAUAGACCAAGACUAACACAAUUUAAAGAGUUAUUUAAGAACUAAUCAGCCGGAUUGCGUGCGCGUUUAUACGAGAGAGAGAGACGGUGAGCUCCUGGACUUUACGUGGAUACACACAGUCAACCUCCGACAAUGUGUUUUUUUUUUUACGACUUCCUUUUUACACCGUCUCGACUACCACCACACUGGCACAUCAUGUGUAAAAUCUAUAAAAACAGGAAAUAAAACAAUUAGAAGCCUCUCACGCUUUAUUCUUUUGAACAUGUUCUCUCCUGGAAGAAAACGCGCAUUUUUCAAGUUCGGCGGAAGAGAUCAUUUGAACAAACAACGUUAUCGACAAGUUUGAAAAGGCAAUUUACGGAGGAUGACGUCAUGUAAAACAACGUAGAAAGAACUUUGGCAUGAAAAAUAAGAAAAGAUGUGUCUUCCGGUCUGUUCCACCGUCACCACCCGCUGAGACUUGUCCUCCAGCAUACGGCUGUUCUUUUUCUUCUCGUUAAAAAAGAGAGAGAGAGAGAGAAAAAGAAAAAAAGUUUGACUUCUAAAUCGCGCAUAAUCAAAAGAGAUUCCAGCAAUAGCAGCAGCAGCGGUGGAGAGAGCACAAGAAGAAGAUGGUGGAGGAGGAUUGUUACAAGAGAGGAGGUCGAAAACGGGGCUCGCAUACACAGAGAGAGCUGGAGGGGGGGAGGCGGAGGGAGACGAGCAGAAGAUUCGUAUAGGCUAUAAAUUUUACUGCUCUUCCAUUCUAACCUCCCUUGGCUCGCUCGCUUGUGGCUCGUCCUUGUUAGUUGGAAUUUUCAACGCUAUGGAAACAUAUAGCCUACACCGAAGCACAGGGGGGGGAAUAGAGAAAACGGAGGUGGGGAAAGAGAGGGAGGCCAGACAUACAUAUAUACAACAAAAAAAAAAAAGAAAACCUUGGGUUACGUUCUAUCGCUGCGCUCUCUCUCUCGAUUGCUUCGUCGAUGGUCGUCGCCGCCGCCGCUGCUAUUACACCGCCGUUGCCGCUUCUUCUACAGAGCUCUCUCUCUGGCUCACAGUCAGUCUCACAUAGUACAGUCGCUGCGUGCGCUGCUGCCACCAAACGUUUCGAAGGCAACCGGGGAAGAAGGAAAGAGGGAGGAAGGUUUGUGUUACAGAGACCGACCGAUCGCGUGAAUUCCCAUUUCACGUCAACCGACCACCACCACUUACCGUCCCGCACACUGACGUAAAGGUUGCUCAUCAAACGGCUUCCCAUCGUUUGGGGCUUGUCAACUCGGUGGAAAUCUUGGUUUAAUGGAGAACCACGUCAAAUCUUCGACUGCAGCAACAGGAUCAAAGCAGCUACUUGAAUUCGAUUCCGGUUCAUCAUUUGUCAACGUCAUCGACGGCUGGGACAACGAAAUUCAAACCCUUCCAUCUUCCUCACGAUAAUGGAGGUUUCUUGACUGUUCCAUGUUUUUCAUUUUAUGACUGUGUUUCUUGCUCGUGUACCACCGCUACAACUUGCGACUAUCAUGGGUGGACCCUUUCAAAGAAAAACAAGGCAAAAAAAAAAGGGACUAUAAAAACACACAUGUUGUGGAAAAUAAUGGAACGAGAACAAGAGGCAAAAAAAAAAAAAGAGAGGAAAGAUACACAAAACUGGUGAAACACGUGCUGCUACUCUCUCCGACAAACUAAUUUGCUCAUGCGGGGUACGUUGAGUGCGUGUACACGCCCAUCAUAAAAAAAUCAAGGACUAAACAAUUGGCAACUGGAAAAAUAACCUGCUCACUCUAUAGCGACCCAAAACUUUAUUUUCAGGGAGAAAAAAAAAAAAGGGUUUCUCUCGUGACGGCCAAAUGGUUCAGGUUUCUUCGGAGCAAGUGGCUCAAGCUUUUUCCUGGAAAAGUUUGCUUUUUUCUUUUUUUCUCCCAUCGUCUACUCCGAAAUCAUUGAUGGUUUACAAAUCAGCCCUUAACGACAUCGACACAAUUCAAACAAGUCGCGUGACUCAUUGUUUGGUGGCAAACGCCCAGGCAACUGCCUACACAAGUUACGACAAGAAAAAGCAAGAAGCUCUGAUUUUGGAAAAAAACAAAACAAAAUCAGUUGAGGAUUUUUAGCGCGGUCAUGUUUACGGUGAGCCAACAACAGCACAUUGAUGCAAGUCAUCUCUUUCUUAUGAUUAUUAAACAUCUACUCGGUCAUGGAAUUACAUGGAAACAAAAAAUCGACACAUCCCAUUUCAGAGAAAAAAGGCAGAAUAUAUAAUUUCUAAUCAGCAAACACGAACCUGUGUGUUUUCAUCAUGAUCUUUUCAUGUUAACAUUUUUCUCCGUUUCUUUUAAGACAUAAAAAAAAAUGUACUUGAAACCGCUUCUUUUUUACAACGCUAGGUGGCUGCCACGCAAAAUUUCUGGGCAUUAAAAAAAACAAACCGUCUCCUGGCAUACACCCCAGAUCCAGCACUUAAGAAAGCUACCGUUCACCUACACACGUCAUUUGAAGUUGGACUUGAGCUCCCAAACAAAACAAAAAUGAAAACCGAAAACCAGAUUCUUUUUUCUCGUUCCGAUUGGAAUAAUCGAUUGGACCAACGAGAUAAGAUUACGUACAAUGUUCUUCUUGACAAGCCAUCGGAAUCCCAGCGUCAACAGUCACUCGAGAGCCACACCAGAAGAUUUUUACCAUCGCUGAUGUUUCCAUUGACUUCGACAACUCGCCCAGGAAAACAAAAAAUAUGUUCCAUGCUUGCAAGGCAGCCGCUGCUGCAAUGACCUUAUUCCUUUGUUCUAAAUUUGCGCUUGACUUGCACACACACACUCCAGAAGACAUAUCCCCGUGAUAUGUGCUGUCGCAGUCUUUUUUCUUUUUCUAUAUCGAGUUGCUUGGCUGCGUUUGAUGUGGACGAGAUAAAUGGAACGCCCUCCCGCUACCAUUACCGUUGAUGAAUGGAUUUUACUGCUACCCUUCAACCUCCCAGUUAUAAACGCGGGCAUCCGGAAGGAGGGAGCAAGACAUGCACAGUCAAGGAUCCAAAACGAAAACAAACAAUCUUAAAAGACACGAAAUUCAAGUCAAUGAAGAUAAAAGAGAACUUGACAGAAAAACGGAAGGUUCAAGCAGGAACGUCGCAUUCCAUUUCCGGUAUGAAGGCUGACUUUUAAAUCACACACAAAAUAAAGGAAAAAUUUCAGCCACAACUUGGAUUGGACGGACUUCUUGGUGCAGUCAAAAAUAAACAAACAAAACAUUCAAAAAUGAAAGACAAACGAGAAUCGUGUGGACGAUGAAUAAAUAUGAGAUCACAAUCACAGCGUGACAGUUCAUCAUGCUCUACAUCUACCCUGUAGAUCCGAAUUUGUAGUUGCAUCACAAGACAAAUUCGGUUCUAGAGAGGUUCGUGUGGGGCAUAAACAGCUACAUGCUAACGACGUGUUCUCAUCUCCUCGGGCAAAACCACCAUCACUUGAAUCGAUUAUGCAAUUAAUCUAAGAUAUUAUUUUUAUUUUGAACAGUUCGAUUUUGUUUUCGUACUCAACGGAGAUUACAAUACACGCACGAAAGAUAA